rnacentral:lncRNA from 1 species
UUUUUUUUUUUUUUUUUUUUUCCAUUUCUUGGGCUGCUCCCGCGGCAUAUGGAGGUUCCCGGGCUAGGGGUCGAAUCAGAGCUGUAGCCGCCGGCCUACACCACUGCCACAGCAACACAGGAUCCGAGCCGCAUCUGCAACCUACCCACAGCUCACAGCAACGCUGGAUCCUUAACCCACUGAGCAAGGGCAAGGACCGAACCUGCAACCUCAUGGUUCCUAGUCGGAUUCAUUAACCGCUGAGCCACGACGGGAACUCCAAGAGCGUGACAUGUGCCCUGAACCUGUGAGAAUGGAGGCAUCUAAGCAAGAGAGCAGUGUGACAGGCGAAGCACUGUGGUUUUCCUUGAAAGUCCCAUUACAUCCGAAGAGAAUGAAAGCCUUGGAGUUCCUGUUGCGGCUUAGCGACUGGUGUCCAUGGGGCAGUGGAUUUGAUCCCUGGCCUCCAUCUGUGGGUUAGGGAUCCGGUGCUGCUGUGAGCGGUGGUGUCGGUCGCAGCCGCAGCUCAGAUCCAGCAGGGCUGUGGCUGUGGUGUAGGCCGGCAGCUGCAGCUCUGAUUCCAACUCUAGCCUGGGAAUGUGCGUGGGCCCCAGGGGCGGCCCUAAAAAGCCAACACGAGCCAAAGCCAAGAAAGAAUGGAAGCCUUAGACAUUGGCAGGACGCAGUAAAAUCGACUAUCAUGGGAAGAAUAAACAUCAUUUGAAAAGGAGAAAGCAAGCCUUGCUCCCUGCUUGUGCUGGGUGUGGGCGGGACCUGCCUGACUCAGAGGCUCACGCGGCGAGGGUGGGAAGGGGAGCCGGGGAAGGCAGGGCGUCAGGGUGGCAGACGCUGCAUCCGUCCUCCGCCCAGCGGCUUGUGCAGGAACCUGGAUGCUUCCCGGAGGCACCUCCGGGCUCCUGCGGCUGAUGGGAAGUGAGCGGUCAGACUCCGCGGGAAUGGGGUGGCCUCUGAGGAUGGCUCAGCCUUGUGGGGGCAGCGUGUGAGAGGACCACAGACAGGUGCUGAGGACACCGUGGGAAGAACCCGGACGCUGAGAAAAGCCCCGAGUCAGAAGGCACCUAGGCCAUACAGAACUCGACCGGCAGGGAGGUGUCACCCACAAGACAGAGGCGGCGCAAGGGGACCAGGGUCCCCUCCAGCUGGGGGAGGAGCCACCAUGAUGGCCGUGUCACUCCGCCGAUGAAGCCCCUUGAACGACUUGUAUUCGUCUUAAAGGCCAAACUCAGAGCAACUCAUAAAAUUCUGCACAGUCACGACUGCUGGCUCUCCAGACGGAACACGUGGCACCUCAGGCACAUGGCAACGUUUCCGAGACACCCUCUACUCCUUGCUGGCUCCCAGCUUUGUGCUGCCUUCUGCCUAGGACGCUUCCCGCCCCACACACCUCCCAGCUCUGGUCUACCUACCCCCGCCCCCGCCCCGUCCUUCGGAUUUUAGUUCAAACGCCCCCCAAGAUGAUGGGGUCUCCCAGGAUCUAUGACGACCUCACCGAAAGCUUUCCUUCCGGAGCACACAGACUGCUUCCUAACUACGAAUUCCAGCCGAUGGGUGCAGGUUCCUCAACCUCCCUGGAGCGUAAACCGCAGGAAGACAAAGGGCACGUCUGCUGUCUUUACACAACAUGCCCAGAACCUCCUUAAAUACCUGACGCUCAGUAUGGGCGAUAAAUACUUAAUAAACCGCUUGAUCCAGAAGACACUGUCUCCAGCACAAGGAGACAGAUGUCAUUCGCCUCAAGCCAUACAAUAUCCUGCCUUUUUUAUGGAUGGAGGGAACCUGACGGCAGAGCAGCCCCAGGAAGACGAUGUCAGCUUUCCUCAGAACCCAGUAUUUCUUAGUAUCUACAAAGCUAUUAAAAAAAAAUCAGUAUUUUUUAGUAUCUCAAAAGCUAUGACAAAUUAAUGACAUUAAUUUAAAAAACAUUAAUACAGCAAUAGGAAACAUGGGCUAAAUACAUGACAAGUACUUCACUAGCAAAAAAACAAACAAACAAACAAACAAAAACAAAUGGCCAUUAAACACACACAAAAAAGAUGAACUCCACAGUAAUCAGAGAAUAUGGAAAUACCAAGUAUGCCUCUAGUGCAGGGGUAAGACCUACAUAUACUUUCAAUGAAAUUAGUUUCAAUUUUUAAAAAUAAUUAAGAGGUACUAGUUGGAAUCUAAAAAACAAAAUAAGGGGACUCUCUUGUGGCACCGUGGGUUAAGGAUCCAGCCUUGUCACUGCAGCAGCUUGGGUUUGGUCCCAGGUCCAGGGACCUCCGCAUGCUGCAGAUGCAGCCAGAAAAAAAAAUUCAAAAAUAAAAAUAAAAACAGCAAACAAAACAGAAACAGACUCAUGGAGACAGAGAACAAGCUGAACAAAACAGGCGAAUGGAUUAAGAGGGAAAAGCUUUCAGUUAUAAAAUACUGAAGUCACAGGAAUAUCAUGCAUAAAAAAGGUAAAACGGUCAAUAAUAUUAAAAUAACUAAAUGGUAACAGAUGAUAAGUCUUACUGUGGUGACCAUCUCGUAAAGUACACAAAUGUGGAUUCACUAUACUGGACACCUGAACACACAGCAUGACAUUAAAUGGUGUGUGUCAAUUAUAUUGCAGUUUAAGAAAGAACUCUGUUAGGAAACCCUGACAGCUUUUACAUGGAGCAAGUAACAGAGGAUGAAGCUCACUGUCUAGGGACUCCAUCCCGGGAGUGGACCCAAUCUCCUGCUUACGACAACGGUAAACAAAAAGCAGUGGAUGAAAAGAUCCAAGUACCAACACGGUAAACAGGAAUUACCAGCCCAAAGAAACAAGAACAACGCAAGAGAGAAAAGAGCCCAGGAAAGAUGUUUUUGCUUGUCAGACAUCUGCUAAACUCCGAAAAAUUUAUCUUUCAUUUUUACAGCCUCCCAGGCCAACAGGAAUAGUAAUCAAAGCCCCAUUUGCCAUAAAAAUUGUUCAGUCGGAAACCCAUCCCGCAAAAAACCAUUCAAACUCCAAAGGAUUACACACCGUGAUCAGGAAGAACCAUACUUAAAUCAGCCCUUGCAGAGCCUCAGGUUCGCACCACGGGGGAAGCUCAGGAAACCUCCGCGCUCAAGAGUUUAGGGUUUUUCCAAACGGACUGAGCCUUGGGUACCUGGUAGAAGCCUGUAAGCCUACUCCCAAGGAAAUCUACAGCCCAGCCUUCAAAAUAUGCCUAAGAAUAACUUUUCAAGAACAAUGAGAUAAGGAACACACAUCUGAGUGUGUGCACGCGUACACACACACACGCGCGCAAGGCAACUUGAGCAAAAACUAACAGAAAUCGCUACAUCAAAAACAGCCACCACUGGAGUUCCCACUGCGGCACAGUGGAUUAAGAAUCUGAUUGGAGCAGGUCAGGUUGCUGUGGAGGUGCAGGUUCAAUCCCUGGCCCAGCGGGUUAAAGGAUCCAGGGUGGAAUAGGUUGCAGCUGCAGCUCGGAUUCAGUCCCUGGCCCAGGGACUCCAUGUGCCAUGGAUGUGGCCAUGAAAAAACAAAAAAAUACAAAAAAAAAAAAACCACACAAAAAAACAGAGGCACCAGGACUUCAGAUAUUGGAAAUUAUCAGAGUCAUUGCGUGGAAGCAUAAUCUUACCAUCAAAAUUCAAGUAAUAUAGUAUGACAAAGGAAAAGUGAAGACCAAUACAGGCACAGAUAUAGAGCUAAAAUCCCAAACAAAAUGUUAGCAAAGAGAAUCUCGUAACACAUAAUGACACAACAAUCCCCAAAUACACAGCAAUACAUCAAUCUCAAACAAAAUUACUAUGUAGCGCACAGUAGGACAAAAAUCCCCAACAAAAUGCUAGCAAACGGAAUGGAGCAAUACAUAAAAGCACCUAUUACAGAGGGAUCAAAUGAGGUUUCUCCAAGGAAUUCAAGGUGCGUUUCACACUGGAAAUAUCUAAGUGUUAUGAUCAGAGGUACCCAGGCACGUAGCGGGAGAGACACUUCCUUUGGACGGACUUCGAGAGAUUCUCCGACUCGGUAAUAGCCGCACGUUUAUCGCUGGCCAUUCCCUUUUGACUAACUCCUCUGGUUUUAGCUACGUUUACACAAUAUGAAUAUAUUCAGUCAUCUCAGAGCAGAGGCUAUGGAGACUUUGGGUCAAAUUCAGCCCACAGACAGAUGUGUUUUUUUGUUUUUGGUUUUUUUUCAAAUUUUCAUAAGCUUUACUAUUUAUAAGUGAUUUUUAUUUUUUCCAUUCUAGUUGGCUUACAAUGUUCUGUCAAUUUUCUACUGUACAGCAAAGUGACCCAAUCUCUCACACACACGCACACGCACACACACAUUCUUUUUUUUACACUAUCCUCCAUCGUGCUCUGUCCUAAGUGACUAGAUAUAAUUCCCAGUGGCCUGCAGUGGUGUAAAGCCAACACUUAGCAAUUGAGAAAUUUCAAUAAAUCCUGGUUUGUGGGUGGUUUUUUUGGGGGGGCUUCUUUCAAAACAUGAGGUUAUCUGGCAACAAGGGCCCCUGAUUUUCCCCUGGCGACAGUCAGCCGCAGCUGCGGAACAGCUCCUCCCCUUUGGAAACCGUGUGUGUUCUGCUCACGGGUGUCUGCUGUGCUGGCCAAGUGUCACUUGCCAUUGAUCCGCAUGUGUGCUCCCCACUCCCCCCUUGAGAGGAAAAUAAAAUACGUGUUGUUCUAUCUCACGGAUGAGAGAAAAGGCAACUGAACAGAGGGGCCUCUUUGUCACCAAAAAAGAAAAAGAAAACAAGAAAGAAAAGCACACGUUUGUGGAAGUGGUUAUUACGCGAGUACCGGGUCAGCUUCGCUCCUUUCUGUGACCUGUCCGCCUCUGCUGGCGUCACCUUUGUGACCUCUGGGCUAUAGUCACGUCCAAACGUCCUGGGAGAAGUCUGCUUUAUGCUGAGGACUUGCGACUUUCAUACCCCUGUUGACCUCAUCAUUAAACUUCCAGAAUGCGAUCUUGUUUUCCCUGAUUCCCAAGUUUCUGAAAAGCCCUCUCCAGCACCCAAAUGCUGAGAGAACCUAGAAGUCGCCGUCGUUCUCAUGCAUCUCGAACCUCAACUGCAGACCAGCUAACCCUUCGGUUCUCUUUCCUCCCCCGGUGCCACCCCGCCAAAGAAGCUGUUACUGACUCUGGAAAAAAAGAAAAACGCUGCUAGCAGGAAUGUUUACACUGUGACCACAACACGGCACAGUCGGCGGGCAGCCCAAGUGGAAGCUGAGUCUCAUAAACAUUUGCUCCAACGGCAUAAAUAUUAUUCCUGCAUGUGAGGCAACUGGACUCCUUUUCGACUGUUUUGUCUAAUGGACGGGGAAUCGUUACUUAUCAAGUGGUCCCUGCUCUUUGGGGAAGUCACGGCCGGGGACUAUUUCAACCUUACCAGGUGAAGACGCAGCCUGAGUCGACAGGGCGAGACCGCAUCGCUUCAUCCACGUGUUCCCAACCCAGCAGCCACCCUCGGGCUGAAGGAGCCAGGGAGCGGCAAGCAGAUGUGCAAGCCUGUCUCCGACCUGGCCUCUCCUGUUGUAAUAGCAUCACGUGGCACUUACAAUAGGGCUUCUGCCCUGCCGUCUUCCUGUGUUAAAAUACAUAAUUCAAAUUUUUUACAUGUCAAUUCUAUUCCAAGGCCCCAAGAAUGGUCUACCUUUACUUAAAGACGUAUCCAGAAGACAGCUGAUUUUUCUUUGUGAACACACUGGCAAAGAAGCUAUAAAGAUGAUAUAUACAAAGGAGGCGAAGUCGCAUCGGAGAUGCUGUGUCAGAAUAGAGUUGCUUAUAUUCCUAAGCCUGAUUUCUUGUGUUUAGACUCAGCCAUGAGAGAGCGAUCAAGAGAGUGCCAGAGUGUGUGUGUCUAAUACAAGGAAGCUUUAAUAGAGCAAUAUUUGUUUUAAGGGUUAGUCGUAUAAACAGAUGUGAAAGCCAUCUGUUUGCUCUGUAAGUGCUACUUGAAAAUUAUAACAGGGAACUAUAUCUAGUCACUUGCGAUGGAGCGUGAUGGAGGAUAAUGUAAGAAAAAAGAACAUUUACAUGUAUGUGCAACUGGGUCACCUCGCCGUACAGUAGAAAUUUGACAGAACCCUGUAAGUCAGCUAUAGUGGAAAAAAUAAAAAUCAUUGCAUAUUGACAAUAAGAAAAUUAUAACAAAGAACAACGUACCAUUUCAGCAGAUAACAGAAUGUGGUCAGGAUCACACAGUAGUUCACAAUAUACAGCAAGACUAGAAUCCCAGGUCUCCCAAGUCCAAGUUCAGUAGGCCUUCCCAACGAGUGAACCAGACAGACACUAUUUCAGGGAUGGGGUGCUAAGAAGGGUCACGCCGGCAACAUUGGAAUAAAACGCUGGGGGUUCCCAUCAUGGCUCAGUGGUAACGAACUCAACCAGUAUCCAUGAGGAUGCAGGUUCGACCCCUGGCCUCGCUCCCUGGGUGAAGCAUCUGGCGUUGCCACGAGUUGUAUAGGUUGCAGACGAGGCUGGGAUCCCACGUUUGUGGCUGUGAUGUAGGCUGGCAGCUGCAGCUCCGAUUGGACCUCUAGUCUGGGAACUUCCAUACGCCGUGCAGGUGCGGCCCUAAAAAAGCCAAAAAAAAAAAAAAAGAAAGAAAAGAAACACUGAUUCCUCAUACAUAGGUGUUACAUGGGGUUGUAGGAAAUCGUCCCUUUAUCUGGAGACAGUUUGAAAACUUAGAGCCCCUCCAGAUGUCAGUAAAAAGCCAGAUUAGAAUAAAAGGAUAAUUAAAAAACUUAAAUUACGACAUAUUUGAACACCUUUGUGACAUGAGAGGGGCGGUAGGAAAACAUCAACCAGGAAAGUGACCAUCACGGAGUUUCCAUUGUUGGCACUGAGUCCCCAGGAAUGUGCAGGAAAACACUGGAGUAGCAUCUUCUCCAAGGACAUGUAGUGAACCAGGCAGGUCUGGCUGAUGUCAGGUAUGGCAAACACGUCAAGGCUCUCCCAGCCAGGGUCUCUAAGAAACAAGUCAUUUCCUCUGGACCCGCUCUAGGGUCAACCAACCUUCUGGUCGUAAUGUGGUUUCCUUGGUGAGUUUAUCUACGAGGGAGAGAGCGGUUGAGAGGCCAGUAGGAAUGUCUGGCCCGCCUGGCAGUUGUAAUUGCCAAGUAAAUUAAUAAAGGGUCUUUCACGUGUACCUUAGUCUCCAGCAGGUUUUAUUGAGUUGUCUCAACUAGCCAAUGUCCUUAUCACCUUCAAUGAGCACCCCCUCGAAUCCUAAGCGGAAAGGGCAGGUCCUGGACU